UGAACAUAUAUUUUAUUGUUUAACCUGGGACACUUUUUGUGAGCGAAACGGAGAACUUUUAGUAAUUACUCUGGAACACAAGCAUAAAUAAGGUAAGUCCUGGACAAACUGAUAAUUAGAAUAUUGGUAUGUUAUUUCAGAAUUUGUUACAGUAAUAUCUACUUCUGUGGGUUUCCUACCUCCUAAAUAUUAAUGACUUCCGAAUACCUCUCCAACUCUGAUCUGUCCUCUCAGCUGCAGACCCAAAUCUCUAGUUGCCGUCUGGGUGUUCACUCUUAUCAUGUCCAGACUGUAUUUUCAGUCUUAGUCAUCCAUUUCUCUGAGACAGAGCUUCCUUUCUCACUGCUCCUCACCUCCAACUGGUCACCAAGUCUUUUUGGUUCCACUUGCUGUUCUGGCCUCUCUUCUUCUUCUCCACUACCACAGUCUCAGUUCAUCCCCGUUCUCUGCAAAUCCUUUUCAAAUGAAGGCAAGAUAGCAAUCAACUACUCUCUUGUCUAGACAACUGUGGCAGUCUCCUGACUGUCCUGUCCUUGGAGUCUUUUUCUCUUUUGAAGUGAAGAAAAGAGAAGUUUAUUAAUUUGCCAGAGAAUGAGGAUGCUGGCAGACUCCUAUCUUAAAGUACCAGCAUCCUGCUUCUGAGCAGAAGUAUAGAGCUUUUAAAGGUUCUGAUUAAUCCCAUCUUAGACUAAGACAGUCCUAUGACCUCGGCCUGGACAAUUCAGAGUCUUCACUCUCUAGUCUUUUAUCCAUACUGCAGAGAAAUGUUUCUGAAAUGAAAAUAUGGUCAGCUCAUUAUUCUGGGUGAAGACUUCAAUGACUUCCAAAGUCCACAGGAUGAAGACCACACGUUCCUGAGCAUGGUGGGCAAAGUUCUUCAUGAUUUGGCCUCUAACUACAUCUUCAUAAUUAUUUCCUGCUCUUUGCCUUACAAUUAAUCUUCUGCAAGACCAAGGCCAUGGUUUUAUUCCCAAGAACAUACUUGUUGUUUCAUAUCUCUCUGCUCUUGUAGCGCUUAUCCUUUGCUUGGAAGCACUUGAGAAACUCCUAGUCUUUCUCAAUACAGAGAAGGGCAGUACUCACCUUCUCUGAGAAGCCUUCUCUAAUGUAUCCCUGCUGAAUUGUGAGUUCUUGGUCAUGAUUUCUUUCUUAGAGUUACCCUGUAGCCUGUACCAUGUCUCUCUUAUUAAAUACUGUGUCAGAAUUACAUUUUUACAUAUCUAUUUCCCUACUAGACUGUGACCAUCUUGACAGCAGGGCCUUGUUAUAUUCAUUUCAGUAUCCCUAGCACCUAGAAUAACUGUUAUAUACCAGGUGUUUAGCAAUUCUUUUGAAAUAGAAACAUGUACAGCCAUCCCUUGAUAUCCAUGAGGAAUUGGUUCCAGAACCCCUCUUCCCUCUUGAAUCCCAAAAUCUAUGGAUGCUCAAGUCCCUUAUAUAAAAUGGGGUAAUAUUUGCACCAUACCUAUGCCCAUCCUCCCAUGUAUUUUAAAUCAUCUCUAAAUUACCUAUAAUGCCUAACACAAUGCCUGCACAUCACUUCAUUCACAUGGAUUCAGCAUAGUACUCAGCAGGCAGCAAAUUCAAGCUUUGCUUUUUGGAACUUUGUGGAAUUUUUUUCUGAAUAUUUUUGAUCCAUGGUUGGUUGAAUCCAUGGAUGUGGAACCCAGGAAUACAGAGGGCAAACUGUACUUAUUUUCAUACUGCAUUUUUGUCAGGACUAGAGAUGAGGCUCAGAUGCUUUUGCUGCUUGGAGAUAACCUACUUUCCUUUUAUUUUUAAAGAUCUUUUUGCAUGAGUGGAUAUGCAGGGAGCUUUUGCUGUGGUUGAAGGAGUAGGGAGGAGGGUAGGGAUGAAAAAGGUGGAGAAGUAGAGGGGAUAGUGCAGCACCUCCUGUGCCAUGCUUGGAGAUUGGGCCCUGUGACUCCAGGCUCUCCAGUGGACCUUGAAGACCAGAUAGCAAAUGGCAGCAUUGAGAUUGGGAGAGGGCCACAUCUCCAUCUCUGCUUGUAGCCCAGGACCACUCUGACCUUGAGCAUUAUGGCUCUGGGAACAUAGGAGAAUGGAAUCUUGGCAUGAUCUUUGUAUUAUCAUUAUAGACAUGAUCAGCAGUGGCAAGAGUGAGGCCCUUUGAGUACCAGCUGUUUGUGAACAGAUGUAUGGGAAUUCUUUAGGGGCUUUCCAGAAGUGGGUAGUGGGAAAGGGUGGUAGGACAUCCCAAAGGGAGCUGGAGGACUUAGAUAUGGAGGUUGGGACAAAACUAGUAACUAUGUGCAUUUAACUUAUGAGAUUUAGGUCACAUGAGAUCCAUGUGGCAGGUAAUUUGCAAACAGAGGUAUUACUUGUCAAGUUCAAGAGGCAACAUUAGUCUGAUAUUUAUCACUGUGGGAACACAUAAUGAACUCCUUCACUCUACUUAAAGUCAAAUAUUAGUGACUUUCUUGAUAGGAGGCUUUCUAAGGCAAAGCUCUCCUUAAAUCUUUCUAAGAAUCAAUCAUGCACUUUUCUAGCCUUAGAGCUUGAAGGAUGCUUGAGAAAUCAUUAAGACCAGCUCUGGGCAUUUGUUUUGAAAUGUUUCAGCAGGUUUCUGCACCACCAGGACUGCAGUCAGAAGAACAAUAUCUUCAAUAAAAAUUGAUGGAAACAGCCCGCCGACAGUUCCUAGUAGCUUUAUCAUCAACCUUCCACUUUGGUGGCCUGUUCUGGUUGCCAAGGAGCCUUUUCUACUGUGAUGUCACUUUCAAAUGUGGGUUAUUUCCUCCCCAUUAUUAAAAAACCUGCAUUUAACUUACAUUAGAAGUGGGAAAAUCGUACAACAAAAGGAUCUGUAACUCUGUUUGAGGAGCUAAUCUUGGAUGCAUAAUCGGAGGAUGCAGAACCCAUGAGUACACAGGAUCAACUGUACUACUACUACUACUAUGUUGGCUGCCUUUAACUUGUUUAUUAACUGUGGACCCUAAGCGAGUGUGGAAGAUGGGCUACCUGGAGCUGAAGACACUCUGGGAGUCACUGGAAAGAACAUGUGGUGCCACCGUAAGGGGAGAAGAGUUGGUCCGGCAGAGGAGUUAGUUUUGACGUGGGAGAGAGAAAAAGAGAGAGCCGGCCGGGGUCUUGAGUGUGAUGAAGGUGGUGGUGGAGGGAGUGGCUCUGGCCUUGGGGUCAGGGUGGCCUGCAGGCUGGAGCCGCACACCGGGUGGGGUGUGAGGGCCUGGGCUGGGGCGCUGGCCUUGGGAGUGGAAAGGAAAGGAGAGCUUUCCAAGGAAAUCAACGUGCCCUGGCCAGCAAUAAUAAGACACUACAUUUUUGAAAGGCUUCCCUUUAAAGUAAGAGAAUCAUGAUUCAGAACAUUUGAAAAACAGAAAUGAAAAAAAUCACACCUGUAACCCUGGGACCCCGACAAAAUCACUGUCAACAUUUUGUGUACGAUUUUCCAGCCUCUUUUCUCGUGUCUCAGUUUUUUGGUGUAGUUGUAGUGAUGGUGUAUGUUCAGUCAUUCCACUCUUUACCUGAACUGUGUCUCACCUAUGUGAUUUAAUUAAGCUGCCACAUACACCUGGGAGGGAGGCCACCCAGGCCUGGCAUUCUGAGGCUGAGAAGCUACUUCAGUUUUUCAGGACCUCAGAGCUGGAAGUCACAGCACAAGGUCCAAACCCUCUGACCCUGAUGUAUUUUCCUUUGCUCCACCCUGGACCACGCUGCUGCUGCUGCUGCUGUGAAUGAAUGAGUGAAUUCAUCCAACAGAGGGACGAUUCAUGUCUGUUUUAUGUAAGGCACAGAGGGAGACAGGAAGAGGAAAAAUACAUAGCUCAUGCUCUGAAAGAGCAGGAAAUGAGUGAAACAUAAUUAUACACAAUAUCAUGAACGCUAGAAAUCAAGGUCUAUGAAAAAGAUGAGGAAGAUGAAGAUAAGUUCUAUACAACCCACAAAGAGACACUGCAAGAGGAAAUGUUCAAUGAGUUUUGUUAUUCACACUUUCUUAUGUUUUUGCACCUCAGGUUUAUAGGCCCUCUGGUCCACAAGCCAGCAUAAAUUAUUCCUCUGUGGAACAUGCAGCUGGAUUGAAUUUCUAUCUUUUGCUGCAGUUCACCAAACAGAGAAUAUUAAACCCUUAGGCCCAUGAAAAUGGGACUCAGAUCUACCACCUCAAUGAGUACUUGGGAGCCUAGAGGUCUGGGAGCAAAGGGACUUGCCCAGAUGCCAGUGACUUCCUUUUCUCCAUUUAAAUCGACUGUAUUUGCUCUUUGUAUGUUAUCCCCUGGGCUUUCACAAAAGAAAAACCAAAUAUUCUAAUCUACAAGUUGGAAUCUCGAUCACAGUGGAAACCUACUUUGAGUGACUCUGAGUUUAAAGAAAAGUUUUGGUGGCAGAUUCAGAGGCAACACUGAAGUUUUAGACCAAACUCUGGCUUCUAUAAAUUUUACAGAAUGAGCAUACAAAGAUUUACUUAUGAUAUCCCCCGACAAACACCUAUUUUUAUACAUAAGGAAGCGCAGUAAAGCUAAAUGACUUAUUCAUUGCUGCAUGCCUCAAACCUCUGUGGGACUCCGGGCUUAAUGCUCUUUCACUCCACGAGUCUGGCAUUAAUGAAUUCACUAAUUAAUACAUUAAUGAUUAUAACAGUUGAAUAAUCAAAUGCUAGCUAUGUGCUCAAUCCUGCCCUCAAAGAGCUAAUAGAAAAUAUGAAAAAGGAGGAAUACUUGGAUUUAGAGUCAGCACUGGAGCCCCAGUACUCAGUAGUCUGUUCUUAUUUUUUUCUUCCAUAAUCUCAUUUCUAUUUCUAUUAAUGACUUGAUCCAUCUAGGGAAAAUACAGCUGAUAAGUUUACUAUACAAAUGAGACUGGCAUAUGAACUUUGUCAUUUCAGUUAGUGAUCAUAUUAUCUAGGCAAAAUGGAAAAGCAAAGUAUAUAUUCUUUGGGAAAAAUGGAGGAUUUUGACCAAAAGCUAUUGCUAGGGGAAUGUUCGGAGCUCUUCUCCUCUUUUCUUUCUCGAUUUCUGCUCUUCCUCCCAGAGUUAUAUAGCUGUCACUGAAUGGCUUUAUCAAAGGUACUCAAACUCCUGGUCUGAAAGGUUUCUGCGUGGCACAGGAGGAUGUCACUCUGUAGAUGUCAUUGGACUUAAAUAAAAUGAUGUAAUAAAAAGCACUUGUUGUAAAGUGUGCCAUAAAAAUGGUUUCCACUUCUUUAUGAGAGGCUGGGAAACAAGACUAAGAAAAUAUAAGUAACCUAUUCAAGGUUACAGGACAAGAAUCCAGAAGUGGGGCAAGGCAUGGAGUGGGGAGUCAUAGGACUCUAUGCAAAUAACAGGGCUGAUAGCUUAAGUUUGAAAAACUUGAUACCUUCCUUCAUAGAAAAUUAGACUAAAUCUCUGUAUCCCAGUAAGGCUCAAUAAAUGUUAGCUGUCUCUUCCUCUUUUCCCUUAUUCUUCUCCAAAUCAAGGCCAUCAUUAAAAUCAUUACUAUUGUCAGCAUGAUCAUCUCUGGUGAUACUAUGUCCUGCCUUUCCUGUUGGGGGUUAAAGGUCCCGAACAGUGAAACACUGAAGUAUUGAGAUUGUAUAAAUUUAUCAACUGAAAACUGGAUUGAACAUUGAGGGUCCUGGGCUUUAGUUUUGGAUUUAAUACUAAUGAAUUGUGUGACUUUAGAUGAAGUCUCUUCAUGGCUCUGAGUCUCAGGUUCCUCAUCAUUUUCUGAAUGAGUUCAUUUUUAUUACAUAUAUACUACCAUAUAUAUUUUUGGGGGGGAGCUAGUGAGCUCCUGAACAAGGAUUUUUUUCCUUUUAUUUUUAGUUGACACAUAAUAAUUAUACAUAUUUAUGGGAUACAGAAUGAUACUUUGAUACAUGUAUAAAAUGUAUAAUGAUCACAUCAGUGUAAAGCUUAGAACAUUUAUCAUUUCUCAGUGUUGUGAACAUUCAAAAUCCUCUUUUCUAGCCUUUUGGAAAUAUACAUUAAAUUGUUGGUAACCAUAUUCACAGUGCAAUGCUAUAGAACACUAGAACUUAUUCCUCUCCUCUAGCUGUAACUUUGCAUCCGUGAACCAACCUCUCUCUAUCUUUGCAUGCCCCCUAACCUUCCCAGCCUCUAAUAACUGCAAUUCUACUCUCUACUUCCAAGAGCUCAUUUUUUUUUAAGCUCCCACAUAUGGGUAAGAACAUGCAACAUAAAUACAUGGAUGGUUCCUGAAUUUGCAUGUCAUCCUUGUGCAGGAUGCCAUGCUAAUCUUCUCUGUAUCAUUCCAAUUUUAG